rnacentral:rRNA from 1 species
CGCGUAGGCGGUUUACACAGUCAGAUGUGAAAUUCCAGGGCUUAACCUUGGGGCUGCAUUUGAAACUAUGUAGCUAGAGUUCUGUAGAGGGGGGUAGAAUUCCAGGUGUAGCGGUGAAAUGCGUAGAGAUCUGGAGGAAUACCGAUUGCGAAGGCAGCCCCCUGGACAGUGACUGACGCUCAUAUGCGAAAGCGUGGGGAUCAAACAGGAUUAGAUACCCCCGUA